rnacentral:tRNA from 1 species
GCUGAUGUAGUUUAGAAAAAUAUUGGUCUUGUAAGCCAAAGAGCGGGAAUAACAUUCCCCCUCAGCC